CCUUGGAAUAGNAUAGNUAGUACGUUUAGAAGCUCGUGAUCGGAGUUGUUCGGGUUUUAAGGGGAAAAAACUCUGAGUAGUUCGAAAGGAUUGCUUGGGACCCUCCCGAUUCAUUGGAUUAUGAAAGUGCUGAGGUUCGCCUUGGAUUACUUCUCUUCCACAUUUACUUUGAGGAAAUUAGAGUGUUUAUAGCAGUCGUUUCGACUGAAUAGUUUAGCAUGGGAUAAUAGAAUAUGGCAAUGCGUCUUUUCUAUGGUUCUUAAAGGCAAUUUUUUGCAAUGAUCAAUGGGAGUGGAUGGGGCUGCCAGUAUUGCUGAGCUAGAGGUGAAAUUCUAUGAUUUCAGCAGGACUAACAAAUGCGAAAGCAUCCAGCCAGUACAUGUCCGUCGAUCAAGAACGAAGGGAGUGGUAUCGAAGAUGAUCAGAUACCGUCGUAGUCACUCCAGUAAACGAUGAUAACUCGGGGUUAGAGGGAUGUAACUUCAAACUUGCACUUUUUAGAACCGUAUGAGAAAUCAAAGUAUCUAUAUUUCCGGGGGGAGUAUGGCCGCAAGACUGAAACUUAAAGGAAUUGACGGAAGGGCACCACAAGGCGUGGAACCUGCGGCUUAAUUUGACUCAACACGGGAAAACUUACCAGGUCCAGACAUAGUAAGGAUUGACAGGUGGAAAGAUCUUUCUUGAUUCUGUGGGUGGUGGUGCAUGGCCGUUCUUAGUUGGUGGAAUGAUUUGUCUGUUUAAUUACGAUAACGAACGAGAUGAUCAUGGAAAACUAGAGAGAUUGAUUGAAAGAUCGAUGCUUAUUCUUCUCUUCCAGAUUAAUGGAUUAAAGCCAUUUGAAAUGAUCGCAAUAACAGGUCUGUGAUGCCCUUAGAUGUUCUGGGCUGCACGCGCGUUACAAUGGUGACGUCAAUGAGUUUUGGAGGGAUUUACUYUUUCCUUGUGCUUUCUCGAAAGGGAUGGCUAAUCUUAUAUAAACGUCACCGUGCUGGGGAUAGAUGGUUGUAAUUAUCCGUCUUGAACC
rnacentral:rRNA from 1 species